CUCAUUCAAACAAAAAAAAGAAACUCACUUUCUCUCAAAAUCUGAAAUGUUCUAAAUAUUUGACAAGCUCUCUACAUCUUCUAAAAACUCUCUCUCUCCAUCGUCACAACCCAAUCUCCAAAUUUUUCUCUACUCUUAAAAAUUCCAUCAAAGACUCACAAAAUCUAAACUCUAACCAUCCCUCAAGCCUCCAUGGCAGAAGCUUGAAGCUCUCUCUCUAUCUCUCAUCAGUAACUUUUAGGGCUGGGCAUCUGAGUACUGCCCUCGCUGCCUACUCGAUGUCUCACGCCACUGCACAGACGCAGACCAUUGGCUCGCUCUGAUUUGGAGUUGCUCAUCUUCGAUAUCUGCAAUUGGACAAGCAUGAGGAGAUGGAGGACUCAUGAGCCAGAGUUACAUCCCGACUUUGUACAUGGAGAUUUAUGGGAGUCUUUCAAGGACUGGAGUGCAUACGGUGCAUGGGUCACAAAAUGGGAGUGACUCUGUUAUGUACUAUGUUCCUUAUUUGUCUGCUAUUCAGCUCUAUGUAGACCCAUCAAAGCCCUCCACAAGAAUAAGAUAACGACACGGGAGCAAAAUCACAAUCAAGUGAGUUUCCAUAGGUGCACCAUUCUUGCUUGGAUGCUCGGUUCUUGGAUCUCUUCAGGUGCUUCAAGACUUUGAAAUGUAACUAAUCAGUUUGCUAGACCAUGCUUAACAAAAUGUUGAAGUUUAAUUACUGUGGUAAUACAAUUUCCCUUAAUUUCCAUUUGGACAAAUGUAACUUGACAAUGGAUUUGUUGAUCUUUCUAAUAUGUAUGGAGCUAUUUUUUUUCUUAAUGAAAACUCUCUAUUCCGGGCUA